UACGUAGGGUGCAAGCGUUAAUCGGAAUUACUGGGCGUAAAGCGUGCGCAGGCGGUUUUGUAAGUCUGUCGUGAAAUCCCCGGGCUCAACCUGGGAAUUGCGAUGGAGACUGCAAGGCUAGAAUCUGGCAGAGGGGGGGUAGAAUUCCACGUGUAGCAGUGAAAUGCGUAGAGAUGUGGAGGAACACCGAUGGCGAAGGCAGCCCCCCUGGGUCAAGAUUGACGCUCAUGCACGAAAGCGUGGG
rnacentral:rRNA from 1 species